rnacentral:rRNA from 1 species
UACGUAGGGUGCGAGCGUUAAUCGGAAUUACUGGGCGUAAAGCGUGCGCAGGCGGUUGUGCAAGACAGAGGUGAAAUCCCCGGGCUUAACCUGGGAAUGGCCUUUGUGACUGCACGGCUAGAGUGUGUCAGAGGGGGGUAGAAUUCCACGUGUAGCAGUGAAAUGCGUAGAGAUGUGGAGGAAUACCGAUGGCGAAGGCAGCCCCCUGGGAUAACACUGACGCUCAUG